GCCAACAAAGAGGUCAAGUUUCUUCUUAAAUCCGCCCGUUCUGCUCUAGAUAGAGAAGACUAUCCUGAGACUAUCAAACAAUGCCAGGCUAUAUUCUGGCAUGAUGACACUCAUUAUCUUGCUCAUGUGUUGUGUGGUAAAGCUCAUUUACUGUUGAAAGAAAUAGGAGAGGCCAGACACCAGUAUAGGAUAGCAAUAACCUCUAAUGAGAAGGAAAUACUGGCCUGGAAGGGCUUGGCAGAUUUGUAUGAUAAGUACAGCCCAGAGGAUAAAGAUGAAAAGUUUGAAGCAAUAAAGACUUAUAAUCAUAUACUAAACACUGUGACUGGAGACGGAGAAAAAGAAUUCAAUUUGUAUUGUAAACUUGCUCCAUUAUAUGUGGAUGUAGGCCAAUUAGAAAAGGCAGCUGGAGCUUAUUUAUAUCUUUUAGUCUCUCCCUCUGCCUCUGGUUCCAUUACUGAAAGGUCAUUAUUAUUCCUACUACGUCAUCCUCAAUAUUCCCAGACCCAGU